rnacentral:rRNA from 1 species
GGUGAACGCUGGCGGCGUGCUUGACACAUGCAAGUCGAACGGUAUGUGGCAACACAUAGAGUGGCGAACGGGUGAGUAACACGUGGGAACGUAUCUUUUGCAGGGGGAUAACUGACCGAAAGGACAGCUAAUACCGCAUAAGUCCGGGAGGAGAAAGGUGCAACAGCAUCGGCAGAAGAGCGGCCCGCGGUCCAUCAGCUAGUUGGUGAGGUAAGGGCUUACCAAGGCGACGACGGAUAGCCGGCGUGAGAGCGUGGCCGGCCACAAGGACACUGAGAUACGGGUCCUACUCCUACGGGAGGCAGCAGUGCGGAAUUUUAGAUAAUGGAGGGAACUCUGAUCUAGCGACGCCGCGUGCAGGAAGAAGGUCUUCGGAUUGUAAACUGCUGUGGUAAGGGAAAAAUGCUAUGUAGAGUGGAAAGCUACAUAGAGGGAUGGUACCUUACUAGAAAGCCCCGGCUAACUACGUG